CGAGCGAGCUUGCCUAGAUGAUUUUAGUGCUUGCACUAAAUGAAACUAUAUACAAGCGAGCGGCGGACGGGUGAGUAACACGUGGGUAACCUGCCCAAGAGACUGGGAUAACACCUGGAAACAGAUGCUAAUACCGGAUAACAACACUAGACGCAUGUCUAGAGUUUGAAAGAUGGUUCUGCUAUCACUCUUGGAUGGACCUGCGGUGCAUUAGCUAGUUGGUAAGGUAACGGCUUACCAAGGCAAUGAUGCAUAGCCGAGUUGAGAGACUGAUCGGCCGCAUUGGGACUGAGACACGGCCCAAACUCCUACGGGAGGCAGCAGUAGGGAAUCUUCCACAAUGGACGAAAGUCUGAUGGAGCAACGCCGCGUGAGUGAAGAAGGGUUUCGGCUCGUAAAGCUCUGUUGGUAGUGAAGAAAGAUAGAGGUAGUAACUGGCCUUUAUUUGACGGUAAUUACUUAGAAAGUCACGGCUAACUACGUGCCAGCAGCCGCGGUAAUACGUAGGUGGCAAGCGUUGUCCGGAUUUAUUGGGCGUAAAGCGAGUGCAGGCGGUUCAAUAAGUCUGAUGUGAAAGCCUUCGGCUCAACCGGAGAAUUGCAUCAGAAACUGUUGAACUUGAGUGCAGAAGAGGAGAGUGGAACUCCAUGUGUAGCGGUGGAAUGCGUAGAUAUAUGGAAGAACACCAGUGGCGAAGGCGGCUCUCUGGUCUGCAACUGACGCUGAGGCUCGAAAGCAUGGGUAGCG
rnacentral:rRNA from 1 species